rnacentral:rRNA from 1 species
AAACCGCCUAGAGGUAAACGGGUGGAUCCGCAAAGUCGGCUCGCGAAAUUCAGCUCGGAGGGCCGGCGCGGCGGGCAGGAGGAGAUCUCUCGCAGACUCGCCUGCCUGCCGUCCCGCCGGCUCCGACGUGUGCACUUUUCGCGGGCAGAGCGCCACGACCGGUUCUCGGGCAGUCAGAAGGCGGCGGGGAAGGUAGGCGGGCGCCUCCGCCGCGCUCGCUGUUAUAGCCCCGCCUGUCCCGAUCUGCUCCUGGGGACCGAGGAGCCGCCGCCCGGCCUUUAGGGCUACCCCGCUCUCCCGGGAGGCUUCGACUGGCAGAGACUGGGCGACCGUGUCUGCCGACCGCCUCUCUGGACAGGACCCGGGGGUGUAACCGUUUAGCCGGCCGGGCAAAGGGUCGGUGGCGAAUCGGUCGGCACUCCACCCGACCCGUCUUGAAACACGGACCAAGGAGUCUAACAUGCGCGCGAGUCGUUGGGUGGUACGAAACCCGGAGGCGAAGUGAAAGCGAGGGCCGUCCUCUGCGACGUGCUCAGGUGGGAUCCCCUCUUCCUUUGCCGAAAAGGGGCGCACCACCGGCCCGUCUCGUUCGCGCUGUCGAGGAGGCGGAGCAAGAGCGUGCACGUUGGGACCCGAAAGAUGGUGAACUAUGCCUGAGUAGGAUGAAGCCAGAGGAAACUCUGGUGGAGGUCCGCAGCGAUUCUGACGUGCAAAUCGAUCGUCAAACUUGGGUAUAGGGGCGAAAGACUAAUCGAACCAUCUAGUAGCUGGUUCCCUC